CACAAAUGCAACUGCUUAAAAUAUAUCCCCAUAGCAGUACAAGUAGCCAUGUUACUCCUCCAAUACUACUUUGCCUUCUCUCAUAACUUCUCGGCAUCAUGCUCCAUUUCUCAUGCUUGAAUUGGCUAAUUUAUAGCUUGCGUAAGAUCCUUAUCCUAAAAGUUCAUGCGCAUGAUACUGCAAUUCAUAUCAGGGUUUAAAUUAUUCUUUAGGAGCAGUGCUUUAAGUAAGAAGCAGGAAAGCGUUUCACCUAAUAUAGACCCUGAUUCUUUGUUCAAAUUACAGUGAACAUGACCUCUCUUUUUUGUAACAUGAACUUCUGACAUUGGUCUUGGAUCUUAUCGAAAAAAAAAUUCGGACCUCUCUUGCUCUGGUGAUAAUCAUAUUUCUUUUUCUGUAGGAUUCUUCACGUUCUGCUACUUAUCAAUUUUUUGAAUCACAUUUGGUGAACCCGAGUGUUUUACCGGUUUCUAAGUUUUCUUCAAUUUAGCAGUACUAAUUAGUAUUUAACAUGCAAAUGUACCAGUUAAAUUAUAAAGACUUUCUUCUAAAAACUAAAAGCAACAUGAAAUUAUCAACAUACUGUUAGGGUAACAACUAAAUGAUGUAGAUUCAGUUGUUCAUAUGGAGAAAAGGCUAGACUAAUAUGGUUUCCUAAGAGGUGUCUUUAUAGUAAAUGAUUGGUAGCAUGAUCAUAUAUUUGGUUUGGAAGCUAGCACUGUAGUUGGCAUUAAAAGUGAGGCCAUCUUGGUUAGUCCAUGGACAGCCGACCAAUGGGUGCGUGCAUAUAAUAAUUAUUUGGUGAGUUGGGCUUGCCUUUUACUACUAUCAUUUGUGUCACUCAAGUAACAAUUUUACUAGAUAUGUAAACUGUUACAAUUUGACCGAGCGAUGAAUUAAACUAUUAUAAUUUUAGAGAUAGACGAAAGAUUUCAAACCUUAUUAGGUAUUUGCCUUGAAAUAAACUUUUUUUUAUUAUGCUAAGAUAGUGCGGAGCAUACAUAUAGUUCACCAUGAACAGUUGCAGUUAACUUUUUUUUCCUUUCUUUUCCUGAUAUUAUGUGUACUAUUAUCAGCUACGGUUUGCUCAUUUCCACUUGCUUUUCCUCUGUAUGAGACAUUAAUCAAAAAUCUGAAGUAUGCUCCUCCGGAUUAUGGUUUGUAUGUCUUAGAUGCAGAGAGAAAGGGUGGAGCAUGGUGGGUAAUCUUUCCCGUGUUUGGUCUUUUGUUCUUUUAUACAAUCUUCAGUCCUGGGAGGGGCAUUUCUUCACUUUCCAGUUGCAAGCCUUCAAUUCGUACCAGUGUUCACGGCUGACUGAAGAUAUGAUGGUGCAGGAAACCUAGAAGAGUAGCAAUGCAAGCAAUGUUGGUGAAAGAUUUUGUACCUCAAGGGUCUCGGAGGAAUGUUGUUGUGUGUGUUUCCUGCAUCUGGGAGACCAUUGAUCACCAACAAAAUGUCUAUGAACUGGGUUCAUUGUCGUUGACCAACUACUACCUUCUAAACAUUGAGGAUCUGCCCGACCCAAAUGCAAAUAGCAGAUCACCCAUACAAGAUCAGAAUUACAUAGAACACAAAAAUCACCCAGGUUGUACUGGACUUGAAAACUUUCCUCUGUAUGUGAUGAUGCGCUGCCAUGCAGAGGAAAUAAUUUUCUCCUAUCAGAUUUCCAGCAAUGCAUGUGUAUUAAAUGCAUACUGUAUUGUAUGCUCUCAUGUUCAUUCACUUCUUUCUUUUACUGUGAGUUUCAAAUAUUGUUGGAGUGGUGACUAGAUUAACUGAUCUUAUCCCCAUCAAAGACAAAUCUGGAACCAAA